UCGGACAAACGCUGCAUUUUUAUAGUGUAGAGGAAAGUCCAUGCUCGCACAGUCUGUGAUGAUUGUAGUGUUCGUGCGUAGGGAAAAAAUAACCUACGGUAGAUUUAUCUAACGGCGCCUAGAUAACCUGAGUCUUUUGAUAUGGUUACUGGCAUAAAGUGCCAUAGUGACGAACUAUUUAGAAAUAAAUAGAGUGGAACGCGGUAAACCCCACGAGCGAGAAACCCAAAUUUUGGUAGGGGAGCUUGAGUUUUAAGAAACGAAUUAAACUCAGGAUUGAAGUAAUUCAAUAGAUAAAUGUUUGUCGCCUUUUAAGGUACGGAACAUGGCUUAUAU
rnacentral:RNase_P_RNA from 1 species